GUCCGGUUAACUUGACUAAAAUUAUUAUGGAGGGUUCAGAGCCUGGUGGCUCCAGCGUCUCCAGCUGCCGUAUCCCUGGUGACCCCGGAGUUUCUCAGCCCCGAUGUCACCCCUGUCAUCCAGGAGAUCAAGGAGUACUACUGUGAGCUGGCGGAGAGCCUUCAGUUUGAAUCAAAGGCAGCGGUUGCAACUGCACCGGAGGACCCCAGGAAGAAGGAGCACGGUCCGGCCGAGGUCUCCACAGCUAAGUUGAUGGAUGUUGCUAAGGUGACAGACCCCGAUGAACUGAGGAAACGGAUUGCAGAGCUGCGCAGGGAGCUGGCCGAGCUGGAGAAGUGCGGUGGGGAACUGGAGGACCAGAUCGAGUCAAGGAGAGCGGCGCACC
rnacentral:lncRNA from 1 species